AUCCCUUCCCACUGGCAGCAAUCCGUGCCAUGCUGCCAGGACGCAGCGAGGUCACCGUGCUGUGAGAGCCCGGCGAGGAACUGGAGAAGGGAGCCCUUCUCCUGCUCCGUGCAGGAACUGGCAGGAGAGGCCAAGCAGAUCAACAGCACAAGAGCAAACCCAUGGUGCAAUAUCUUGCUGUAUGUCUUGAUGGAAAAAUGGAGUGUCUGCAUGGUGUUUUGGCGAGACUAG
rnacentral:rRNA from 1 species